rnacentral:rRNA from 1 species
AUUGAACGCUGGCGGCAUGCUUUACACAUGCAAGUCGAACGGCAGCGGGGAGGAGCUUGCUUCUCUGCCGGCGAGUGGCGAACGGGUGAGUAUUACAUCGGAACGUGUCGAGAAGAGGGGGAUAACCACCCGAAAGGGUGGCUAAUACCGCAUAAAUUCUGAGGAAGAAAGCUGGGGACCUAGGAAUAGGCCUAGCGCUUUUUGAGCGGCCGAUGUCGGAUUAGCUAGUUGGUGAGGUAAAGGCUCACCAAGGCGAAGAUCUGUAGCGGGUCUGAGAGGAUGAUCCGCCACACUGGGACUGAGACACGGCCCAGACUCCUACGGGAGGCAGCAGUGGGGAAUUUUGGACAAUGGGGGCAACCCUGAUCCAGCCAUGCCGCGUGUAUGAAGAAGGCCUUAGGGUUGUAAAGUACUUUUGUUAGGGAAGAAAAGUCAGCUGUGAAUAAUGGCUGAUACUGACGGUACCUAAAGAAUAAGCACCGGCUAACUACGUG